rnacentral:rRNA from 1 species
AUUGAACGCUGGCGGCAUGCCUUACACAUGCAAGUCGAACGGUAACAGGUCUUCGGAUGCUGACGAGUGGCGAACGGGUGAGUAAUACAUCGGAACGUGCCUAGUAGUGGGGGAUAACUACUCGAAAGAGUGGCUAAUACCGCAUGAGAUCUACGGAUGAAAGCAGGGGAUCGCAAGACCUUGUGCUACUAGAGCGGCCGAUGGCAGAUUAGGUAGUUGGUGGGAUAAAAGCUUACCAAGCCGACGAUCCGUAGCUGGUCUGAGAGGACGAUCAGCCACACUGGGACGGAGACACGGCCCAGACUCCUACGGGAGGCAGCAGUGGGGAAUUUUGGACAAUGGGCGCAAGCCUGAUCCAGCAAUGCCGCGUGCAGGAUGAAGGCCUUCGGGUUGUAAACUGCUUUUGUACGGAACGAAAAGCCCUGGGUUAAUACCCUGGGGUCAUGACGGUACCGUAAGAAUAAGCACCGGCUAACUACGUGCCAGCCGCCGCGGUAACAC